rnacentral:rRNA from 1 species
UGGGGAAUUUUGCGCAAUGGGCGAAAGCCUGACGCAGCAACGCCGCGUGGGUGAUGAAGGUCUUCGGAUCGUAAAACCCUGUCGUCAGGGACGAAGGUCAUGGUGUGAACAGCGCUGUGACUUGACGGUACCUGGAGAGGAAGCCCCGGCUAACUCUGUGCCAGCAGCCGCGGUAAUACAGAGGGGGCAAGCGUUAUUCGGAAUUAUUGGGCGUAAAGGGCGCGUAGGCGGUUUUGUAAGUGAUGUUUGCAAUCCCCGAGCUCAACUUGGGAACUGGACGUCAGACUGGAAGGCUGGAGUACUGGAGAGGGUGGUAGAAUUCCACGUGUAGCGGUGAAAUGCGUAGAGAUGUGGAGGAAUACCAGUGGCGAAGGCGGCCACCUGGACAGUAACUGACGCUGAGGCGCGAAAGCAUGGGUAGCAAACA